rnacentral:rRNA from 1 species
AGUAGCGGUGAAAUGCGUAGAUAUCUGGAGGAAUACCAAAGGCGAAGGCAGUCCCCUGGUCCGAUACUGACACUGAGGUACGAAAGCGUGGGGAGCAAACAGGAUUAGAUACCCUGGUAGUCCACGCCCUAAACGAUGUCGAUUAGCCAUUGGAAGGACCCCUUUUCCUUUCAGUGACGUAGCUAACGCGUUAAAUCGACCGCCUGGGAAGUACGACCGCAAGGUUAAAACUCACAGGAAUUGACGGGGACCUGAACAAGCGGUGAAUGAUGUGGAUUAAUUCGAUGCUACGCGAAGAACCUUACCUACCUUUGACAUGGCCAAAGUUCUACCGAGAGGCGGAAGUACUCGUAAGAGGAUUGGCGCACAGGUGCUGCAUGGUUGUCGUCAGUUCGUGUCGUGAGAUGUUGGGUUCAGUCCCGCAACGAACGCACCCUUAUCUUUAAUUGCUCCUAUUUUAACAGGCACUUUAAAGAAACUGCCAAUGAUAAGUUGGAGGAAGGUGGGGAUCACGUCAAGUCCGCAUGGCCUUUAUAGGUAGGGCUUCACACGUCAUACAAUGGUUAGAACAAAGAGCUGCAAAUUCGUAAGAAGGAGCCAAUCUCACAAACCUAACCUCAGUUCGAAUUGCGGUCUGCAACUCGAGCGCAUGAAGCCGGAAUCGCUAGUAAUCGUGGAUCAGAAUGCCA